rnacentral:lncRNA from 1 species
UUUCUAACCUUUUAGCUUGCUCCAUUAGCCAAGUUUGGCUCAAAAUUUCCUCUUUUUUAAAAGUUUCCUGUUACUGGAACUCACUCUCUUCUCCAAUUUUAAGAUCUUCCUAACAAUCAACUAAGGCUGCAGCUCAAACUCAAUUAAAGUGUAGUAAAUUAGAGUGAAACAAGCGACUUUAAUACACAAUUAUAAUCUACGAUCAUUAAGAAAAAAAUUUUGGUGGAGAUUUAGAUAUGCGGCUUGUAGAAGGUUAGAUGAAGAAGAUGAAUCAAAUUUAUUUUGUCAGAAAAAUCAUGUCAAGAGUGAGAAUAGUUAGGUGCUCGUCUUAAUUUUUCCUACAAUAUUUGAUUUUUCUAUGUCUUGAAGGAAUGGGCAACAUAUUUUUCAUAUUUUGGCUUCCUUCAACAUAUUUCUUGAAGAAAGGGCAACACAUGAUCCCUAUUUGGCUAG